CCUACGGGAGGCAGCAGUGGGGAAUAUUGGGCAAUGGGGGAAACCCUGACCCAGCGACGCCGCGUGAGGGAAGAAGGUUUUCGGAUUGUAAACCUCUGUCCUUGGUGACGAUAAUGACGGUAGCCAAGGAGGAAGCCACGGCUAACUACGUGCCAGCAGCCGCGGUAAUACGUAGGUGGCGAGCGUUGUCCGGAAUUACUGGGUGUAAAGGGAGCGUAGGCGGGAGAGCAAGUCGACUGUGAAAUCUAUGGGCUUAACCCAUAGCUGCGAUCGAAACUGUUCAUCUUGAGUGAAGUAGAGGCAGGCGGAAUUCCUAGUGUAGCGGUGAAAUGCGUAAAUAUUAGGAGGAACACCAGUGGCGAAGGCGGCCUGCUGGGCUUUAACUGACGCUGAGGCUCGAAAGCGUGGGUAGCAAACAGGAUUAGAUACCCCUGUAG
rnacentral:rRNA from 1 species